UUAACUUUAGUUUUUAGGUUCUAUGAUAAGUUUUAAGUAGAUUAAAUAUAUUAUUCUUUUUCAAUAUUUUAUGUUUGGUUUAAUUUAGAAAAUUAGUAUUCUUAUAAGAUCUAGAUCUCUUAUGUCAGUGUCCCAAUAGAGUGCCAGCAGGCGUGGUUAGACUGAACACUGAAUCUUAUCUCAUCUAAUUUAUGUAUUUUAUUCUAAUCUUGACAGGUAAAAUUGGAUAAGAUUAGCAUCUAUUUGUUUUAUUUAAUUUGGUUAAAAGACAAGGAUUAGAUACCCUUUUAUUUCCAAUGAUAGUUUUGUGAUUAUUAACAUUAAAAUUCAAUAAACUUGGCGGUAGAAAAAGAACUCAGAGAAACCUAGACAUUAAUUGGAUGAUCCACCAUAAUUAUUUCUUAAAGUAUGUUUCUCCUGUAUGUCUGUUUUGUAAAUUGUUACAUCUAUUUACUAUAUUAUUUUAUAAUUCAAUUCAGGUCAAUAUAGGGAUGUCUUUAAGUUGCUCCGGGUUGCAUUAUAGUUUUAGUGGUAGUUUUAAAUUUCUGCCUAAUCUGGAUUUGAAAGUAAAUUGAAUUUUAUUCAUUUGAAUGCUUUUUUUCUAAGUACAAAUCGCCCGUCACCUCUAUUACAAAAUAAAUUGAGUAAGUCGUAACAAAGUAGGCCGGCUGGAAGGGUGGCCUGAA
rnacentral:ncRNA from 1 species